GAUGAACGCUGGCGGCGUGCCUAAUACAUGCAAGUAGAACGCUGAAGCUUGGUGCUUGCACCGAGCGGAAGAGUUGCGAACGGGUGAGUAACGCGUAGGUAACCUGCCUCUUAGCGGGGGAUAACUAUUGGAAACGAUAGCUAAUACCGCAUAAAAGUCGGCAUUGCAUGAUGUUGACUUGAAAGGUGCAACUGCAUCACUAAGAGAUGGACCUGCGUUGUAUUAGCUAGUUGGUGAGGUAACGGCUCACCAAGGCGACGAUACAUAGCCGACCUGAGAGGGUGAUCGGCCACACUGGGACUGAGACACGGCCCAGACUCCUACGGGAGGCAGCAGUAGGGAAUCUUCGGCAAUGGACGGAAGUCUGACCGAGCAACGCCGCGUGAGUGAAGAAGGUUUUCGGAUCGUAAAGCUCUGUUGUAAGAGAAGAACGAGCGUGAGAGUGGAAAGUUCACACUGUGACGGUAACUUACCAGAAAGGGACGGCUAACUACGUGCCAGCAGCCGCGGUAAUACGUAGGUCCCGAGCGUUAUCCGGAUUUAUUGGGCGUAAAGCGAGCGCAGGCGGUUAGAUAAGUCUGAAGUUAAAGGCUGUGGCUUAACCAUAGUACGCUUUGGAAACUGUUUAACUUGAGUGCAGAAGGGGAGAGUGGAAUUCCAUGUGUAGCGGUGAAAUGCGUAGAUAUAUGGAGGAACACCGGUGGCGAAAGCGGCUCUCUGGUCUGUAACUGACGCUGAGGCUCGAAAGCGUGGGGAGCAAACAGG
rnacentral:rRNA from 1 species